AUUGAACGCUGGCGGCAUGCUUUACACAUGCAAGUCGAACGGCAGCACAGGGAGCUUGCUCCCGGGUGGCGAGUGGCGCACGGGUGAGUAAUACAUCGGAACGUGUCCUGUUGUGGGGGAUAACUGCUCGAAAGGGUGGCUAAUACCGCAUGAGACCUGAGGGUGAAAGCGGGGGAUCGCAAGACCUCGCGCAAUUGGAGCGGCCGAUGCCCGAUUAGCUAGUUGGUGAGGUAAAGGCUCACCAAGGCGACGAUCGGUAGCUGGUCUGAGAGGACGACCAGCCACACUGGGACUGAGACACGGCCCAGACUCCUACGGGAGGCAGCAGUGGGGAAUUUUGGACAAUGGGGGGCAACCCUGAUCCAGCCAUGCCGCGUGCAGGAUGAAGGCCUUCGGUUGUAAACUGCUUUGUCAGGACGAAAGGACCGUGUUAAUACCAUGGUCUGCUGACGGUACCUGAAGAAUAAGCACCGGCUAACUACGUGCC
rnacentral:rRNA from 1 species